rnacentral:other from 1 species
ACAUUCCUGAAAUGUUCGAGGCACUAUUAAUGUUCAACCUACAUUAUAUAUACGGGAUCUUCGAAAGAGUAAUUAGUAAUGCGGAGCUUUAGAAUGAACAGAAAGUUGGCAGAUCUAAUUUGGAAAGAACCCACCUGUUUUGAGCAGGUAUUGAACAAAUAGUUAGACGGCAUCUUGGGGUACAU